UACGAAGGGGGCUAGCGUUGUUCGGAAUCACUGGGCGUAAAGCGCACGUAGGCGGAUCUUUAAGUCAGGGGUGAAAUCCCGAGGCUCAACCUCGGAACUGCCUUUGAUACUGGGGAUCUCGAGUCCGGGAGAGGUGAGUGGAACUGCGAGUGUAGAGGUGAAAUGCGCAGAUAUCAGGAGGAACACCCGUGGCUAAGGCGGCUCUCUAGUACGGUACUGACGCUGAGACGCGAAAGCGUGGGGAGCGAACAGG
rnacentral:rRNA from 1 species